AUGUCACUGGUCACUGCCACUUUCAUAGCCCUUGCCUUGUGCUUCGCCCCUGCACCGGGCGCAGCGGCGACACUCUCGGCGCGGCGUCCGCUGCGGGGCAACGACACGCUGGUCUCGGCACAGGGCAAGUUCGAGCUCGGCCUGUUCAGCCCCGCUGGCAGCUCCGACGGCAGGCUCUACCUCGGAAUCUGGUACAAGAACAUCCCCGUCCAGACCGUCGUGUGGGUCGCCAACCGCGUGACUCCCUUGUCUACUGUCGUCUCUGCCGAGCUCCGUGUGUCCCCUGAUGACGGCAACCUCGAGCUCGUUGGUCCCACCAACGCCUCCGCCUCGCCGGUGGUCGUGUGGUCUUCGAACCUGUCGUCGUCGUCGCGCUCUAACACAGCAGAAAUCCGCGACAACGGCAACCUGGUCCUUGUGGACGGCGGCAACUCCUCCAACGUGAUGUGGCAGAGCUUCGACCACCCCACGGACACGCACAUCUCGGGGGCAUGGCUCGGUGAGAACAAGCUCACCGGCGAGUACCAGGCGCUGACAUCGUGGCGGAACGCCCAAGACCCCGCGCCGGGGAUGUUCACCGACACGGUGGACCCCAGUGGCACCAACGAUUUCCUCUUCAUGUGGAACCGGUCCCGUAUGUACUGGCACACCGGCGUCUGGACCGGCCGCAUCUUUGCGGCCACACCGGAGGCGACGAGAAACGACCUCUUCAACCAGACGUAUGUCGAUACGCCGGCAUAUCGGCGCGUCACCAACGUACUCUACAACAACGCGACCAUCACACGCACGGUGCUCGAUCUCACCGGCCAAGCAAAGCUGUACAUCUGGGUGUCCGCGAGCCAGAGUUGGCAACUCUUCUGGACGGCACCCACCGUGCAGUGCGACGUGUACGCGCUUUGUGGCACGUUCGGCAUCUGCGACCCGAGGAGACAGCCGCCAUGCCGGUGCCCCUCCGGGUUUGCUCCGGUGGCUGGGGGGAACUGGUCUCUCAGCGACUGGAGUGGUGGCUGCCACCGGAGCAUACCGCUCACGUGUGCGCGCAACGGUUCGACGACAGACGGGUUCCUAGCGCUGCCGGAAGUGAAGCUCCCCGAAGACUCGCUCGCAGUGGCUGCCGCCCAGAGCAAAGCAGAGUGCAAGUCCACUUGCCAAAAGAACUGCUCUUGCCAGGCCUACGCCUUCUCGGCCAGGGGGUGUGCCCUCUGGCACGGGGAGCGCAAUCUUCAGCAACUCUACAUGGACUCCGGCGUCUCUGGGUCAGACCUCUAUCUCCGGCUUUCAGAAACAGGAUUGUAAGAUCUGCAUGGCGCAGAGAGGAAGAAAUGGAGGAGAACAUUAUGUCUUGUUCUUGCCAUCCCAUUGGCCAGUGUUGCAGCAUUGGGCGCGACGGCCAUACUAGCCUGGAGGAUUCUUCUUGCUCGUACGAGGAGACUCGCUAGUACGACAAACGGGAAUGGUUGCUCAUUGGCCGUGUAUAGUUACGGUGACCUUCGUGCUGCCACGAAGAACUUCUCAGAGCGACUGGGUGGCGGCGGCUUCGGCUCGGUGUACCGCGGUGUCCUGGAGCAGCAAAAGGGAGACAACAGGACCCAUGUCCUGGUGGCGGUCAAGAAGCUGGAAAGCCUUGGACAAGGCGACAAGCAGUUUCGGACGGAGGUGAGCACGCUGGGCUGCAUCCAGCACGUGAACCUCGUCCGGCUCCUCGGCUUUUGCUCGUCCGGGGAGGAGAAGAUGCUCGUCUACGAGUACAUGCCAAGAGGCUCCCUCAACGGCCUCCUCUUUCGCGAUGGUGCGUGCCUGAGCUGGCAUGAUCGGUACUACAUCAUGGUCGGCGUGGCGAGAGGGCUGGCCUACCUGCACCUUGGCUGCCAUGAGUGCAUCAUACACUGUGACAUCAAGCCCGAGAACAUCCUGCUGGAUGAGGAUAUGUCCCCGAGAAUCGCCGAUUUUGGGAUGGCACAGCUGGUUAGGAGGGACUUCAGUCGCGCGUUGACCACGAUGCGGGGCACCAUCGGGUACCUGGCGCCAGAAUGGAUCUCCGGGCAGCCUAUCAGUGCCAAGGCGGAUGUCUACAGUUUUGGGAUGGUGCUCUUCGAGCUCAUCUCUGGACGACGAAACUCUGAGGGGUCCAGUGAGGUGGAGGCGGCAGAGAGCGGGAAUAGUGAUUUGUGGACCUUCUUCCCGGUGUGGGCAACCGGAAAGAUUGUUGAAGGGGAGGUGGACGUCGUGGCUGACCCGCGGCUGCAUGGCCAGGUGAGUCCUGAGGAGCUGGAGCGGGCGUGCAGGGUGGCGUGCUGGUGCAUCCAGGACGAGGAGGCGUCGCGGCCGACCAUGGCGCAGGUCGUGCAGGUGUUGGAGGGCAUGGUCCAUGUCCACGCGCCACCGGUGCCACGAGUGCUACAGCACAUCGUCACAUGA
rnacentral:rRNA from 1 species